GGGUGCCUCAUUUCUGUCCACUCCAAAAGGGAAGAAAGAAACUGGCAAAUUGGAAAAAAGAUGAUGAUGAUGUGGGAGGUGAGGGAGCAGUCACAUAGAAUUGCUUGUGGGCAGGCAAACAGUUGGCUUUCCUCCUCAUCUGGAGGAGGGCCUGGGCAAAUUUUCUGGACACUAGUGCCCUAAGUUAAGUGGAACAUGUGGUUUUAGGUUCCUACUUCCCAGAAAAGAGCAGAGGAGGCAUAGAAACCCUUUUAAGAUGGGUGCUAUUAGGAGCCUGAGGCUACAUUUUACCCCUCCUUCAGAGUCUUCUUCGGAUACCAGGAUUUAACAUCUACGGCCCUCUCCCCCCAACUAAAACCUUUUUGGUGGAAAUGAUCCCAGCUAGACAUCUUAACCUCCAAAGGAAUAUAGAUUAAAGACUGGGAAUUUGGGGCCAGGCACGGUAGAUUGCACCUGUAAUCCCAGCACUUUGGGAGGCCAAAGUGGGAAGGUCACUUAAGGCCAGGAGUUCAAGACUAGCUUGGUCAGCAUAGCAAGACCCCAUCUCUACAAAAAAAGUGUUUUUUAAAUUUAGCCAGAUGUGAUGGCUCCUGCUUGUAGUCCUAGCUACCCAGGAGGCUAAGACAGGAAAAUUCCUUGAGCCCAGAAGGGAUGCAGUGAGCUCUUGAGGCUGCAGUGAGCUGUGAUCAUACCAUUGCCCUCCAGUCUGGAUGACACAGAGAGACAUUGUCAAAAAAAAAAAAAAAAAACUGGGAAUUUUGAAACUGGAAAUGAUUUUAUAAAUCUUGUCUGUCCUCUCUCAGGGCCAUUUGUGUCCUAAGCCCUACUCUUUCAUGGUGAACAGAGCUAUGAAAGGGACAAAAAUUAUAGACUUUGGAGUUAGACUUACUUGGAUUGACAUACCAUCCUUUACAGGCCAGCUAUGCCCUUAUGCAAGUAUUUUAACCUUUUGAAAUAAUAUCAGUGUCCUUGUAAAUUAGAUAUAAUAAUGCUUCUCUUGAAAGGUUGUUUUGAGCUUUAGAAACAAUAGUUGUCAAAAGUCUUGCACAGUAUAGCUGGCACAGUAUAUAUAGAUGCUUAAUUGACAACGCGGCAUGAAACACUGUUUCUGCUAAAGGGAUAUUAGAAUAUGGAGAACAGGUCAGAGGGAAAAUUUGGAGAGCUCUUCCUGUACCUAAAGUUACAUUUCUGAGGGCUUUUUACAGUUACUCUGAUUAAUUUGAUGAAAAUAUUGAAACAAACAGCAUAGCCAUGUAUUCGUAAAUUCUUUUUUUGGUACCUAGGUCCCGAACCUCCUAGGCUCUGAGGGAAUUGUAUAUAUGGAGAAAGCCAAGAAUAUUUUUCCUUAGCUUCUAGAACCUUCUAAUGACAUUGAGGGUUUUUUUGUUCAGGUUUUUUCUAACCACCUCAGGCACUCUGCCACUUUUUUGAAGUGUGAAUUGCCUGCUGUCAGCCUGGAGUUCUCACCUCCGCAAUCCUGGCUGCAGGCAUAUUUGCAUAUUGGAUGCUGUGUUCCUUAACCCCCUGAGGUUUGAAUCCACUUGGAGUCUGUGUGUGAAAGCUGGCUACUUUCAAACCCAUGAACAGUUUCAGCUUUGUGGUCUCCAGAAAAACAGAAAAACCCCAACAAUAGUUCCAUUCACUUUUAUGUAAAUGGCACUCUUCAGGAAAACACUGGGCUAUUUCCCAGGGCCCCAGAACAUACUCAAACAUUUGUUUGAGUGGGAGGUGGGGAGAGAGUUCUUUUGAGUCAAUGAACAUCUGUUCAGAACUGCUGUGCUGGGUCCCAAGAAAACAGAGCUUCUAAUCUGGCUCUUCCCUGCCAGAGGUACCAGCAGAGAUUUACUAUACUAGGUAUAUGUGCUUGUGGUGGCAUUGUACUGUGUCAGUUUAGCUAAACUGGAUUCCCAGUAUCCUUCCUAUCUGCUUCCAGGUGAGGGUUGUCCACAAGAAAAUUUCGUGAGAGAUUUGGAAAGCUGAAUUGAAGUAGCAGCCAGUACACUGUGAAGGACAGAGCAGGGUCUGUACGCUGUGAAGGACAGAGCAGGGUACCAGGCAUAGUGGCAGUACCUGUACUUUCUCUCUGAUCUGGCUCACCUUGUUGGUGAAGGUCAUCACACAGCCCCCAGCACCCCUAGCUCCUACUGAAUUUCCUCCUUCAGCUCCUCUGAGUCCUGGGCCAUGUGUGCAGUCAGCUCUGUAGCAGAGGGCUCCGGCUUCUCCAGAUCACCUGAGUCGCUGAGCUUGGGACCAGUGAAAGGAAGUUGUGGGUUUCAGUUACAGAGUUGCGUGGAUUUAUCCACCAACUUCCAAAGAUACACAAUGUCUACUCCUUAUAAUAAAUCUUUAGUUUUCUGUCACUCAUAGCAUUUGCUUCCCUGAUUGAACUUUAAGUUUGUUCAAGCUGUGUUAAGGAUGCAGAGCAUGGAGUGAUUAGAAGCCAGAAAGCUUCACAGAGGAGGUGACAUCCGAGCUGCUUCUGACGAGUAGGAGGUUGUGUGUAUAGAGUGGGUAGGAGGAAUUCUAGAGAAUAGCUGGCUCAAGCCAAGCAAUUGAAAGAGCAGUGAGGAGUUCUGUAUUUCUAGAAGAACUGUUCUUUCCAUGGGUCCAGAAUAUAGGUGGAGAAUGAGCAUCUGAUCCUAGCUCUUCUGGCGCCAUUGAGAUUAACUGUUAGCUGAUGUGGUUCUUAGAUGUGGUCAUCCCUAAUACACUGGCAUCCACUGAAAUACAUUCUUGCUAGGGUACACCCUUGUCACUACCCUAAGAUUCCUCCCCCACCCCACCGCUGCUUU
rnacentral:lncRNA from 1 species